rfam:Waddlia chondrophila WST 86-1044, complete genome.
GCGGAAGUGGCGGAACUGGUAGACGCGCUAUCUUGAGGGGGUAGUGGGGUUUUCCCCGUGGGGGUUCAAGUCCCCCCUUUCGCA